rnacentral:rRNA from 1 species
UGGGGAAUAUUGCACAAUGGGCGCAAGCCUGAUGCAGCAACGCCGCGUGCGGGAUGACGGCCUUCGGGUUGUAAACCGCUUUCACCCAUGACGAAGCGUGAGUGACGGUAGUGGGAGAAGAAGCACCGGCCAACUACGUGCCAGCAGCCGCGGUGAUACGUAGGGUGCGAGCGUUGUCCGGAAUUAUUGGGCGUAAAGAGCUUGUAGGCGGUUGAUUGCGUCGAAAGUGAAAUUCCAGGGCUUAACUCUGGGCUUGCUUUCGAUACGGGUCGACUUGAGGAAGGUAGGGGAGAAUGGAAUUCCCGGUGGAGCGGUGGAAUGCGCAGAUAUCGGGAGGAACACCAGUGGCGAAGGCGGUUCUCUGGACCUUUCCUGACGCUGAGAAGCGAAAGCGUGGGGAGCAAACAGGCUUAGAUACCCUGGUAGUCCACGCCGUAAACGGUGGGUACUAGGUGUGGGUCUCAUUCCACGAGAUCCGUGCCGUAGCUAACGCAUUAAGUACCCCGCCUGGGGAGUACGGCCGCAAGGCUA